UACGGAGGGUGCGAGCGUUGUCCGGAAUCAUUGGGCGUAAAGGGCGCGUAGGUGGCCCGGUCAGUUCGUGGUGAAAGCGCGGGGCUCAACCCUGCGUCGGCCAUGAAUACUGCCGCGGCUGGAGCACUGUAGAGGCAGGCGGAAUUCCGGGUGUAGCGGUGGAAUGCGUAGAGAUCCGGAAGAACACCGGUGGCGAAGGCGGCCUGACUGGGCAGUGCUGGACA
rnacentral:rRNA from 1 species